GUUCUUCUGCCAACAAC
rnacentral:sRNA from 1 species